UUUUUUUUGCUUNNNNNNNAAAUUUUAUUUUUUAAACUAGGAUUAGAUACCCUAUUAUUUUAAAGUGUNNUUAUUAUAUACCUAGGUAGUAUUAGUUAUGGUCUUGAAACUUAAAAAAUUUGGCGGUAUUUUAGUCCAUUCAGAGGAACCUGUUCUGUAAUCGAUAAUCCACGUUGGAUCUUACUUAGUUUAUUAUAGUUUGUAUACCGCCGUUAUGGAUUAUUUUAUUAGAAUAAUAAUUUUCAAUUGUUUUUAUUAAAAUUAAUAUCAGGUCAAGGUGCAGCUUAUAAUUAAGUGUAAAAUGGGUUACAAUAAGUUUACUUAUAACGUAUAUUAAAUUUAAAUUUUUAAUUGAAGGUGGAUUUCAUAGUAAAAUUAUGGAGAUAGUUAAUUUGAUUUUGGCUCUAGAAUAUGUAC
rnacentral:rRNA from 1 species